rnacentral:sRNA from 1 species
GCCAGGUGCGGUGGCGCACACCUGUAGCUCCAGCAGCUCAGGAGGCUGAGGCAGGAGGAUUGCAAGUUCAAAGCCAACCUCAGCAACUUCAAGAUUAAGCAGUUCAGUGAGACCCUGUCUCUA